AGUGAACGCUGGCGGUAGGCCUAACACAUGCAAGUCGAACGGCAGCACAGUAAGAGCUUGCUCUUACGGGUGGCGAGUGGCGGACGGGUGAGGAAUACAUCGGAAUCUACUUUUUCGUGGGGGAUAACGUAGGGAAACUUACGCUAAUACCGCAUACGACCUACGGGUGAAAGCAGGGGAUCUUCGGACCUUGCGCGAUUGAAUGAGCCGAUGUCGGAUUAGCUAGUUGGCGGGGUAAAGGCCCACCAAGGCGACGAUCCGUAGCUGGUCUGAGAGGAUGAUCAGCCACACUGGAACUGAGACACGGUCCAGACUCCUACGGGAGGCAGCGAUGGGGAAUAUUGGACAAUGGGCGCAAGCCUGAUCCAGCCAUACCGCGUGGGUGAAGAAGGCCUUCGGGUUGUAAAGCCCUUUUGUUGGGAAAGAAAAGCAGCAGCUUAAUACCCCGCUGUUCUGACGGUACCCAAAGAAUAAGCACCGGCUAACUUCGUG
rnacentral:rRNA from 1 species